CAAUAGCGUAUAUUUAAGUUGUUGCAGUUAAAAAGCUCGUAGUUGGAUUUCGGAUGGGAUUUGCCGGUCCGUCGUUACGAUGUGCACUGGCCAGUCCUAUCUUGUUGUCGGGGACUAGCUCCUUGGAUUCACUUCCUGGGACUAGGAGCUGACGAGGUUGCUUUGAGUAAAUUAGAGUGUUCAAAGCAAGCCUACGCUCUGAAUACAUUAGCAUGGAAUAACACGAUAGGACUCUGGCUUAUCUUGUUGGUCUGUGAGACCAGAGUAAUGAUUAAGAGGGACAGUCGGGGACAUUCGUAUUUCAUUGUCAGAGGUGAAAUUCUUGGAUUUAUGAAAGACGAACUUCUGCGAAAGCAUUUGUCAAGGAUGUUUUCAUUAA
rnacentral:rRNA from 1 species